rnacentral:rRNA from 1 species
AUUGAACGCUGGCGGCAGGCCUAACACAUGCAAGUCGAGCGAGCGGCGGACGGGUGAGUAAUGUAUGGGGAUCUGCCCGAUGGAGGGGGAUAACUACUGGAACCGGUAGCUAAUACCGCAUACUAUCGGAUGUACCCAGAUGGGAUUAGCUAGUAGGGGGGGUAAAGGCUCACCUAGGCGACGAUCCCUAGCUGGUCUGAGAGGAUGAUCAGCCACACGGGAACUGAGACACGGCCCAGACUCCUACGGGAGGCAGCAGUGGGGAAUAUUGCACAAUGGGCGCAAGCCUGAUGCAGCCAUGCCGCGUGUAUGAAGAAGGCCUUAGGGUUGUAAAGUACUUUCAGCGGGGAGGCGUUACCCGCAGAAGAAGCACCGGCUAACUCCGUGCCAGCAGCCGCGGUAAUAC